AUCUCCUCACCUGGCGGUCACGCAGGCAGCACGGCUGGUUGGCAGCAGAAAUUAUGCACUACCUUCACUAAACGGUCGAUUCUAACAUUAUAGAGACUCAGCGGUCAGGUUUUUUUGUUACCCUUUCUUUUACCUGGAUUUGAUCCGUCGAAAGACUGGCGAGCUACCCAAGGAACUCUGAACCCCCCACACCUGCCCCCCUUUCCCAAAGAAGACUACCAUGGUUAGGGUAGGAACAAGGACUCUGGGACAUAAUGAACUGAACCGAUUUAAGGUCGAUUUAAAGAAAGAGCAGAACUUUAAUUUUUGUAUUUUUUUUUAAAGGCCUCUCUUCGUUAUUAUUGAUUGAUUGUUUGAAGUUGUUUGUGUUUAUUAUUUGGAAAAAAAUAUUAUUUAUCAAUACACUUGCUUAAACUUAA